rnacentral:rRNA from 1 species
GAAAUAUUUCAUUGAGACUUCGGUGGAUUUGAUCUAUGUCUAGUGGCGGACGGGUGAGUAACGCGUGGGUAACCUGCCUUAUACAGGGGGAUAACAGUCAGAAAUGGCUGCUAAUACCGCAUAAGCGCACAGAGCUGCAUGGCUCAGUGUGAAAAACUCCGGUGGUAUGAGAUGGACCCGCGUUGGAUUAGCUUGUUGAUGGGGUAACGGUCCACCAAGGCGACGAUCCAUAGCCGGCCUGAGAGGGUGAACGGCCACAUUGGGACUGAGACACGGCCCAGACUCCUACGGGAGGCAGCAGUGGGGAAUAUUGCACAAUGGGGGAAACCCUGAUGCAGCGACGCCGCGUGAAGGAAGAAGUAUCUCGGUAUGUAAACUUCUAUCAGCAGGGAAGAUAGUGACGGUACCUGACUAAGAAGCCCCGGCUAACUACGUGCCAGCAGCCGCGGUAAUACGUAGGGGGCAAGCGUUAUCCGGAUUUACUGGGUGUAAAGGGAGCGUAGACGGUGUGGCAAGUCUGAUGUGAAAGGCAUGGGCUCAACCUGUGGACUGCAUUGGAAACUGUCAUACUUGAGUGCCGGAGGGGUAAGCGGAAUUCCUAGUGUAGCGGUGAAAUGCGUAGAUAUUAGGAGGAACACCAGUGGCGAAGGC